GCAUUGGUGACGAGUCCGAAACAGGACGAAACAGCCGUCCAGUGC
rnacentral:hammerhead_ribozyme from 1 species